AUCUGAUGCUGAGGGUAUUGGAUGCACAGCUUCUUAAAUCUCUCCCAGUACUCAUAGAGAGACUCGCCUAGAUGUUAUUUGAUACCGCAUAUCUCCUUCCUUAGGCU